UCAGACCGACGACUGCUGAGAGCUUCAGUGACACAGCAGCUCGAUGAUGAUGAUGAUGACGAUGACGACGACGAUGUUUAUUGAUGAGUUUGUUUUGAUUUAAAGUUAAAGACAGUAUAAUUGUGCGGUGCAGUAACCAGGUGAAUACUUUAGUGAUAUUCUGCAGGGGGUCACUCUGAGGUAAACUAAGACUCGGUGUCCAGCAGAUCUGCAGAACUUCCAUCAUAGUUGUUUGAAGCGCGGCGGAGACGGGAGGGCAGCGAGCGAUGAUGAGCCAAGUCAGCUGACAGAAAAUAACCAGCGACAGAAAGAACUGGAUGCAGCGUUCAACCCUAAAGUUGUGCGACACAGAUCAAUGUCGUGCAGCUGUUGGUGAUUAAAGGCCCCAGUCUGGACCAGGAGGACUCAGAGUCCCUUCAUAUAAAAGAGGAACAGGAGGAGGUCUGGACCAAUCAGGAGCGAGAGCAGCGUAUUGUCUAUAGGAGGCUGGUGUGACUGCUGUUCCCAUGAAGAGUGAAGAGGAUGGAGAGGAACCUCAUUCUUCACCGUUUCAUCAAAGGUGAACUGGACAACAGAGAGGCAGAGCCUCCAGUCGGCAGCUAUGUGACAGAGAUGAAAGCAGAAACUGAUGGAGUGGACUGUAGAGGACCACGGCCAGCCAGGAACCAAGAUCCAGGUCAUCCCCCACAAGCAAAUACUGUUGACAAGGCUUCAGACUCUGAGACCGAUUUCACUUACGAAGACUGGCAAGAACCUUUGUCAGAAUCUGGAACUGAAGCUGAAGACGAGGACAAUGACUGGGAAGAAACCAGGACUCCUGAGUCAGGUGUCAGUGAUCUGAGGCAAAGACAAAACCAGAAGACCAGUCUGAUGACAGAGGAGCAACUCCAGAAAGGACGAAAAACAUUUGGUUGUGACGUGUGUGGGAAAAGAUUCACAACACAGGGAAGUCUGAAGGUACACAUGAGAGUCCACACAGGAGAGAAACCAUUUGGUUGUGAUGUCUGUGGGAAAAGAUUUAGUCAAAAACCGAAUCUAAAUAGGCACCUCAGCAUCCACACUGGAGAGAAACCAUUUGGUUUUGAUGACUGUGGAAAAAUAUUUUUUUAGAAAUUAACUUUGAAGACAGACACAAAAAAAUUACGACAUUUUAAUGAAAAGUUUUGAUGAUGAAAAAUUGCAUUAGUUUGUUAGAACCACGGCACGUUCAGUUGUCGUUUAUCAUUUCAUCAUAACUUCUUCUUUUCUUUCUCUUUUGUGUAUUUUAAAAUGUGUGAUUAAAUCUUUUCUUGGCUGUUUA